ensembl:lncRNA
GCCUGUUUGGCUCUGGUUAACUAGUUUCUCCUGAGGGCAGGCCUUGUUGAGAAUGCAGUGCUCUGGCGUGUUUCAAAUGGUUCUUUUUCCUCCUCCCUCUGCCAGAAGCACAGGAGAUUUUUCUCUGAUAUUUACUUUGAGAACCUGGUUGAGCUUCUGGAUAUGACUCUCACAAAAUUGUGGGGGCUUCCCUAUGACUGGGGUCCCCCUAGAGUUUUUAACUCUCCAAGUUGUUUACGCUGAACUUCCAGCAAUUAAUGAAUUACAAUUCGGGAUUUCCUUCUCUGGCACUGAUUCCUGUUGCAGUUUCCACUUAUGAAUCUCUGAUCUGGCUGUGUUGAGAAACAGAAUGUGGAAGCACAGCAAGAUUUUCAGUCACUAAAAAUGGCUCGUGAUGUCCAACGCAAGUUAUCCAAUAAAGAACAGAAGUGGAGGCUGGCCCUGAGCUAAUAUCCGUGCCCAUCUUUCUCUACUUUAUAUGUGGGACGCCUACCACAGCAUGGUGUGCCAAGCAGUGCCAUGUCCGCACCCGGAUCCGAACCGGCGAUGCCCAGGCUCCCGAAGCGGAACGUGUGAGCUUAACCACUGUGCCACCGACCGGCCCCCUGAUUUUUUUAAAUUGGGGAGUUGCAUUAUUGGGGGGAAGAAUGACAUAUGUAGAUCAAAGAAUCAUAGUAUCCUGAAUGGUGGGAGUGUGUUGACCCAUCAGGAUUAAAUCCUUGCUUACAAAGAGAGAUGAUAACGAAGAAGGAAAAAUAGCCCAUUUUCUUAGACUUUGAGUGGUGAAUUUUUGCAAGGGUAUACAUGAUAGGAGCCCAUUGUUAAGCUAAUUGAUGAAAAGACUCAUUAAAUAUCAAUAAACCUUUGAAUCUAUCUCAUUUUAUAACUCAGCAACAAAAUAAGUGUAUAUUAUCAUUUCUUUUAACACAAUUGUCUCAAAGAAGUAUAUGUAUCAUUAUUUUUAAAGCUUAUCGCAUUAAAUUAUCUUUAUAGCACAGUAAUGGAGUUUAGCUUAAAAUAUUUUCUAAAAUAAUUGAUGUGCCUUAUAAACAAUUAAAAUAGUUAAGGAUACAUAAACUAAAUGGAAACUAUCUAGGUACUAAAUGUUUUACCACCUUUAAUCAAAUUAAAGAAUGAUCAGAUACUCGGUCAGAGACCUAAUGACACACACAUUCAUUGUGCUUUAUUCAUACAGCUAUUUCCCUCAGUAAUUUAAUUUUUUCUCUACUGCUUUCCUGGACCCUGCAAAUGUUUAAUGGGACCUCCACGUUGAUUUAUGAGCUAGGAAUUAUCUCUAGUUGCAAGUCUUGAAACCACUGACUGAUUACAGAGACAAAGAAUUUUGCACUGAUAAAGAGCAACCAUUUUCAAGUCUUUGUUUCUCCCUAUUGCUGUAAAAGACAAGAUUGAUAGUCGUAUGAAUGCCUUUUAAAAGUUAUUUUACAUUUAUGUAUUUAAAAUUUAUAUAUAUUUCAAAAUUAUUUUUAACAUAUUUUGGAAAUAUUUAUGGAAAUAGUUAUAUGUGCAUUUCACUAGGCAUCUAUCAAAUUCUAAUAAAGCCCUGAAUUAAUAUGCUUUAUGAUAUCCAGGUUUGUUGUAACAAUAUUCUCUUUUGGCCUUUGACCUUUACCAUCCAAUACUCAAAUGGGGACAGGCUGGACUGGGUGGUGACUGGGGAAGGGGAUUAGGAGAUAAUAGUCUUCUGAUAAUUUGUUAAUAUUUGCUCAGUUGUGAAAAUGUGUCACUAUCUUUACUUUUUGCUUCUUGUGAGGGUAAAUACUGAAUGAAAAAUAUAGUUUUCAUUAAUAAUAUGACGGUGUUUCAUGCAACUCAAUACAUUAUCACAUUAUGAUUGUUUUAGUGCUUUUGAUAUGACUAUUCUC